AUGAGUGUGACCACUCAGUUCCUUGUGUUGCUGCUCCUGUGGCUUACAGAUGUCAGAUGUGACAUCAAGAUGACUCAGUCUCCAGCCUCACUGGCUGCAUCUCUGGGAGAAACUGUCACCAUCACCUGUCAAGCAAGUGAGAACAUUUACAAGUAUUUAGCAUGGUAUCAGCAAAAACCAGGCAAACCUCCUCAGCUCCUGGUCUAUGGUUCAAAUAUCUUGGAAGAUGGUGUGUCAUCAAGGUACAGUGGCAGUGGAUCUGGCACACAGUAUUCUCUCAAGAUCAACAGCUUGCAGCCUGAAGAUGUUGCAAGUUAUUAUUGCCAAAGUGCUUUAUAUACCCCUUCCACGGUGAUUCAAGCCAUGACAUAA